AAGGAGGAGCCCGCGGCCGAUUAGCUGGUUGGUAGGGUAAAAGCCUACCAAGGCAUAGAUCGGUAGCCGGCCUGAGAGGGCACACGGCCACACUGGCACUGAAACACGGGCCAGACUCCUACGGGAGGCAGCAGUGGGGAAUCUUGCACAAUGGGGGAAACCCUGAUGCAGCGACGCCGCGUGAGCGAUGAAGCCCUUCGGGGUGUAAAGCUCUUUCGGCAGGGACGAUAAUGACGGUACCUGCAGAAGCAGCUGCGGCUAACUACGUGCCAGCAGCCGCGGUAAUACGUAGGCAGCGAGCGUUGUUCGGAGUUACUGGGCGUAAAGGGUGUGUAGGCGGUUUUCUAAGUUUGGUGUGAAAUCUCCCGGCUCAACCGGGAGGGUGCGCCGAAAACUGGGAGACUAGAGUGCGGGAUGGGAGAGUAGAAUUCCUGGUGUAGCGGUGAAAUGCGUAGAUAUCAGGAGGAAUACCGGUGGUGUAGACGGCUCUCUGGACCGCCACUGACGCUGAGACACGAAAGCGUGGGUAGCAAACAGGAUUAGAUACCCUGGUAGUCCACGCCCUAAACGAUGCAUAUUUGGUGUAGGUCAUUCAGUUGAUCUGUGCCGGAGCUAACGCGUUAAAUAUGCCGCCUGGGGAGUACAGUCGCAAGGCUGAAACUCAAAGGAAUUGACGGGGGCCCGCACAAGCGGUGGAGCAUGUGGUUCAAUUCGACGCAACGCGAAGAACCUUACCUGGGCUCGAACGGCUUCCCAACGGCGGUGGAAACACCGUUACUCCGCAAGGGGGUGGAGUCGAGGUGCUGCAUGGCUGUCGUCAGCUCGUGUCGUGAGAUGUUGGGUUAAGUCCCGCAACGAGCGCAACCCUUGUCCUGUGUUGCCAUCCCGCAAGGGGGGACUCGCAGGAGACCGCC
rnacentral:rRNA from 1 species